rnacentral:rRNA from 1 species
UACAGGGGGGGGCAAGCGUUUGUUCGGAAUUACUGGGCGUAAAGGGUCUGUAGGUGGCCAACUAAGUCAGACGUGAAAUCCCUCAGCUUAACUGGGGAACUGCGUCUGAUACUGGAUGGCUUGAGUGUGGGAGAGGAAUGCGGAAUUCCAGGUGUAGCGGUGAAAUGCGCAGAUAUCGGGAGGAACACCAAUGGCGAAGGCAGCUCGCUGGGACGUGACUGACGCUGAGACGCGAAAGCGUGGGGAGCAAACAGG